rnacentral:tRNA from 1 species
GCCGAAAUGGCGGAACUGGUAGACGCGCUGGACUCAAAAUCCAGUGACCCUAAAAGUCGUGUGGGUUCGAGUCCCACUUUCGGCA